rnacentral:rRNA from 1 species
GUUAGGAAUAUUGGACAAUGGGCGCAAGCCUGCUCCAGCCAUGCCGCGUGAGUGAUGAAGGCCUUCGGGUUGUAAAGCUCUUUAGCCGAUGAUUAUAAUGACUGUAGUCGGAAAAUAAGCCCCGGCUAACUUCGUGCCAGCAGCCGCGGUAAUACGAAGGGGGCGAGCGUUAUUCGGAAUCACUGGGCGUAAAGCGUGCGUAGGCGGCUUUGCAAGUUGGGAGUGAAAGCCCAGGGCUCAACCCUGGAAUUGCUCUCAAAACUGCAAGGCUCGAAUUCGGGAGAGGAUAGCGGAAUUGUCAGUGUAGCAGUGAAAUGCGUAGAUAUUGACAGGAACACCAGUGGCGUAAGCGGCUAUCUGGACCGAUAUUGACGCUGAGGCACGAAAGCGUGGUGAUCAAACAGGAUUAGAUACCCUUGUAGUCC